GUUUCCAUUCAUUCGCAUUUGUGCUUCACAGUGAAGCAGUCAUAAGCCGCGCAAGUUUCCAAACGAAAGCACAGAACUCUAACAAUAUAAAUAAAUACGAGGCAGACGAACCCUUCUCUUUUUGAUUUAAAUUUUUUUUAAUUUUGUUUUCAUUGAGGAAAUCAAGAGGGCAGCAACAGUGCGCGUCGCGUUAAGUGUUUGGUGGUAUUUUUUGAUUUGCAAAUUUGUUGAAGUACUUGAAAUUUCAUUGAAUUAAAUAAUUUGCAAUUCAACGAAUUAGAUUGCAUACAAGGUUUAAAUGGAUUUUUCGAUGUUGUGUGCCGGAUUGAAGAAAAUAGACAGCUGAAUAAGAAAUAAAAAAAAACAGUUUCUCUCAUUUAAUUGCAAAAAGUGUGAUGUGAUCAUACAAAUGUGCAGAAAAAACUUCUUAAAUAUACCAAAUAAACUUUAAUUUUUGCCGAACCAAAGUUCAAAGUCUUUCGUUUCGAAUUUGUUAAUUUUACCUGCCAACAACGUACCGUUUAGUGUGUUUUUGUGAAAUUGUGUUAUUUUGCUGGGGAAAAAAUAAUUAAAUUUUGCUUUGGCUGCGUGCAAUGCACCAAUAAAAAAGGUGAAAAGCAAUCACACAUCUAUAAAUCAAUGAUAAAUAAUUGCUAACAUCAAUUUUUGCAAUUUAAACCGGCUCCGAUUUCCAGAUUGAAACAAAGUGAAACAGGAAUACUGAAUGAAGCUUGAAUUUUCCGGAUUCCGCAGUGUUUUCCAGCUAGUAAAUCUAGUCGACAGGCUGCUCAACUGCGCGGCCUUGAGCUCGCUCACGGUGCUCUAAAAGCAAGUUGAAGAAGGUCUGAUUUUUCUAUAGAGAAAACCAGAGGGCGAAUACCUUUGACAACACGUGGACCACUUUCGGGAAGAUGGAUCUUAAGUAAGCACUUCAAUGUCUUUCCGGUGGGUGUUUGACAGGUUAAAUAUCUUACCAGAUACUCACUGUCGCUGCAGGUAGAUGACGUGGAAUCACUCAAAAUUUUCGUUAAGCUAUCUAGGAGGUUUCUUUCUAACUGCCUUGCAUUGUUCCUUUUAACCAACCCUGAGAAGCCCUUCCAUGUUGACAUUUGCUGCCUGUGAAACUUCUAUCCUGAUUUUUGCUAUAGCUUA